AGAGUAGAUACAGAGAGCAUGGAAAUGGAAUGAAAAGAAAUGUUGGUUAGUCGCAGCUUCCUCUUCUCUCCGAUUAACAAACUCACCGUCUUCUCCCAAUCCCAACCCCAACACACUCGCCUUCUCUUACAGUCUCAUCGGAUUCACACUAUGGCAGCGGAGGCCGCCACCACCAACACCUCCAAUGCGACGGCGAAGGCCGCGGGGAUGGACUUCCUGACGAAAAAGGUCUACACUCCUCCUCCUUGGGCGUCCCACAUCAACCCCAUCCCUUCUCACACCUUCUCUCUCGGACACCUUCCGACUCCAAUUCACAAAUGGAAUCUUCCCAAUUUGCCCCCCAACACUGAGGUCUGGUUAAAGCGUGAUGAUCUUUCGGGAAUGCAACUGAGCGGUAACAAAGUCAGAAAAUUGGAGUUCUUAAUGGCAGAUGCGGUAGAGAAGGGUGCGGACUGUAUCGUGACGAUAGGGGGCAUCCAAAGCAACCACUGUCGUGCAACUGCAGUGGCUGCCAAGUAUCUCAAUCUUGACUGCUAUCUCAUUCUACGUACUUCAAAGGUUCUUGUCGACCAAGAUCCUGGACUGACUGGCAAUCUCCUGGUUGAGCGUUUAGUUGGAGCUCAUGUUGAUUUAAUUUCAAAAGAAGAGUAUGCAAAAAUCGGGAGUGGGGUUCUCACUAAUCUCUUAAAGGAAAAACUACUAAAAGAAGGAAGAAGGCCAUAUGUUAUUCCUGUUGGCGGAUCAAAUUCCCUCGGAACUUGGGGCUAUAUUGAAGCAAUACGUGAGAUUGAGGAGCAGCUUCGGAGUGGAACAGACAAAGUAAAGUUUGAUGAUAUUGUGGUUGCUUGUGGCAGUGGGGGUUCAGUUGCUGGUUUGUCAUUGGCUUCUUGGCUCAGUUCGUUGAAGGCAAAAGUUAACGCAUUUUCUGUCUGUGACGACCCUGAUUACUUCUACGACUAUGUUCAAGGCCUACUUGACGGGCUUGAGGCAGGUGUUGAUUCACGUAAUAUUGUUGACAUUCAGAAUGCCAAAGGUCUGGGCUAUGCAAUUAACACCUCUGAAGAGAUUAAUUUUGUCAAGGAGAUUGCUGCGACCACUGGGAUUGUUCUUGAUCCAGUUUACAGUGGCAAAGCUGCUUAUGGAAUGAUGAAAGACAUGGCUGAGAAUCCAAAGAAGUGGGAAGGAAGAAGGGUCCUCUUCAUACACACAGGCGGGCUACUUGGGUUGUACGACAAGGUAGAACAGAUGGCUCCAUUGUUGGGAAAUUGGCGUCGGAUGGAUGUCAACGAAUCUGUUCCUCGGAUUGAUGGUCUCGGGAAAAUGUUCUAAGGCUCGAGAUAAAUCAAAGAAGUGCUCAGUUUAUAAGGAGAACAGAGAAUAGUGUAAAAGAGAAAGCAGAGACCAUGGAUGCAAAGAGAGCAGAAACCAUGUAUAAAAUGACAUGCCUUGCAGUCGCAGCUUCCCCGUUCAUCCGAUCAACACAAUGGAAGUGGACGCAGACACCAACAGCUCUGACACCGCUGUGAAGGCGGUGGCGAUGGACUUCCUGACCAAGAAGGCCUACGCUCCUCCGUCUUGGGCAUCCCAUAUCAAGUCCAUCCCUUCUCACACCUUCUCCCUCGGACAAGUAAAACCCAUUUCUCUUCUUCCUCUGCUUUUAUUUCUCUACUAUUUGAUUACUGUUUCUGUUUGUUAUUUGUUAUCACCAAUAACUUUCUAGUUUCCAACUCCAAUUCAUAAAUGGAACCUUCCCAAUUUGCCCCCCAACACCGAGGUCUGGUUAAAGGUACUUGCUUUUGCUUUUUUCUCACUGGUAUUUGAUUUCCUACACAAAAUCCCAUUCGGCUUUUGUAAAUUGUGUGACUUUUGGGGUCCGUUUGGAAAUGAUUAUCGAACGGCUAAAAGUGCUUUUCUGAAAGCCAAAACGCACUUACUAGCUACGUUUGUUAGAAAAACUUAGAAGUGCUUUAUGGAGAAGCGCCUUUCUAGCAUAAGCACUUAUGAGCCAAAGUUCUUUCUACAAAUGCAGUCCUAAACAAGCCCGAAGCUCCACCUAAUCAAAUAUUGAGACUUCUGAAUAAAUACGCUGCUUUUUGUAUGCAAGUUUUCUUAAUCAAAACUUCGAUAAGCUCUUUUCGAGGUGUAAUUCAUUGAUUCGUUGUGAAUAUCUGGCGUGAUGAUCUUUCGGGAAUGCCAGUGGGCGGUAACAAAGUCAGAAAAUUGGAAUUCUUGAUGGCCGAUGCCGUGGCAAAUGGUGCAGACUGUGUCAUAACGAUAGGGAGCAUCCAAAGCAACCAUUGUUGUGCAACUGCAGUGGCUGCCAAGUAUCUCAACCUUGACUGUUAUCUCAUUCUAAGCACCCCUAAGGUUCUCUUGGACAAAAACCCUGGACUGACAGGCAAUCUUCUCGUCGAUUGUUUGGUUGGAGCUCGCGUUGUAUUUGCUGCAAGAGAAGAGUGUGCAAAAGUCAGGAGCAUGGUGUGUUGUGUUUCCUUUCUAGUCAGCAUUGCCUUUUUUAUUGGUUCAAUAGCAGUUAUGUUGAAGUACCCGGAGCCAUUUACGUCUAAAGUUCAGAUUGGUGAAGCUUAUCAAGCAGAAGUUCCUGACUGGUGUGAUCAAAAUUCCUAAGACUCCACUGUCUGAAGUCGAAACAGAUGACGGGGAUUGUUCUGUUGCUGUUGUUUUGGACCCAUCUCCAUCUGAUUGUGCUGGCCCUCCUCCGCAGAUGGCAUCAGAAAAUGGCAUUGCUUCUAGAAGGAGAAAACUAGAAAUGGUGGAAAGCCCCGGAAUUAAAAGUCUAGUGAGUGAUGAAAUUGAGGUUCUACCGUAAAACUGAUUGGCAAUAUGGGGAGUAGUCCAAGACCAUAUAAGCACAUAACAAACCUUGUUCCUCACCGAUGUGGGACAACUCUCAACAUUUUGGCACACUACUCAUGUACGGAUCAGACGUUAAAGGAAGAAAUUACAAAGUUUCUGUAUCUGUAUGAGUUUAUGCCUCCAAACUCCAAAUUACGAAUACAAAAUGAUAAAGCGAUUCAAGCGUUGUUUACCCAAGUUUAUGUUUUAUUUCUCGAAGUGUCCGUCAAACGAAUCAUAAUCGUAAUGUACGUGGAGCAAUGAGACCGCAUGAGAAGAGAAAGCCAGGCCAAAAGCCAUCUUCCUGUCCAGUGUCCACCACCAGUCGGUCAACUUCAAUACCAACAGCAAUUCUUUCCUUGUGCUUCUUUGCUCCCUUGUUUUACUUCGCUUUCAAGCAAAAAUCGUAUUGAAUUGUGUAAAGACGAUAAGAUUAUAUAGUUACUGGCUUAUCGGGUCCGAUCCGAUCUGGGGGCCAUAUGCCAUUACUCCA